CCGACACCACCCUCACUGGACUGUCAAUCAAACCUCAUCAUGUGCCACCCUUCCAAAUAUAACGCGUUCCCAGAUGCAUCAUCUCCUGAACAGGAAGGUCUGGACUGGGGUGGAUAUGUUGAGCAGCCGUGGGAGCGGAGGCCAUAUCAAGAAGGCGCCCAGACACAGUAAUGAGGGACUUUGAAACAGGCUGGCUUGAUCUGCUCAUUCUGUUCAGUGUCCUCACCAGGGGCAUCACAGUCAAAAGGUUCUCUGUUCCUGAGGAACACUUCCUGUUUCUGCACUGCGACAGCAAUGCAGACGACCCGAAUAUUGAGUGGACAAAUGGGAAAGGGGAAAUCAUUGCCCUGCAAAAUGGAGCUGCAGUGUCUUACCUCAACCAGAAUAAGUAUCACAUAUCCGACGGAUACCUACAGAUUAAGGAGCUGGAGCUCUCUGAUGCUGGACAGUAUUUCUGUAAUGGUCACCUGGAGGCCGAAGUGGAGGUGCUGAGAGGUCAAGUCUUUUCCAUAUCAGAAGGAAGGACCCUGUUGAUCCCUUGUGAAAGUGACCGAAAGCAGGUUUGGUCCUUCAAGAAAGAGAAGAGCUUGCGGCGGGUGACCAUCUUCACCUUAUUCAAGAAUGGAACAAUAAUCAGAGAGAGGGACGACCCGCAGGGACGGUUUGUCCUCCAUCGCCGGGCUCUUGAGAUAGUCCGUCUGGAGCUAGAGGAUUCUGGGAGGUACAUGUGCAACAGCAACCUGGUUGCCAAGGUCACCGUGAUAAAGGCUCAUCAGGAUCAGUUUAACCAAACCACAUCAGUAGUAAUGGAUACAAUUGUUACAGAUUCACCAGAAAUACCUGUAACAAGUCCUAUAUUUCAGAAAGUGGCUGUCGUUGCAGUUAUCGGACUAUGCGUGCUAGUGUCAUCCGUUCUUCUGGUGUCCCUCAUUUUGUGCCAGAGAAAGAGGACGAGGAGAAGAAAGAACAAAAAGAACGGCAGAUUAACAGGGACAGGACAUCAGCAUGAAGAAACUGAGCUGCAACUUCAGGGGCUGUCCACUAGGGGUUCACCAAAGACACACAGAGACGUAGGCCAGAGUCUGCCAGCGGAUGGAAGGGAGCUCCACUAUGCAUCACUGGGUCGGCAGAACUGGCUGGAAAGAGGACGAAUGCAAGACAACGAUCCCCAGGUCAUCUAUUCUACUGUUGCCGUGGCAAUGAAUCCAACUUCCGAAUAGAUUCUGUGUUCAAGUUUUGUUUACUUCCUGUGUGCCCUGCUGACACACACACACACACACACAAACACACAGACACACACACACACACACACACACACACACAAACACACACACAAGCAAAAGAUGAGUUGUGUGGGAGGUGAGAACUACAGGUAUGAUUUGUGAUACAAAAGAGUCAUGUACAGAUUUCCAUGAUAAGAUGUGAGCAUGACGUAUAAUAAAAAAAAUGACAAAAAUGCCUGUACACUGAUCAGCCCGAGUAUUUAUUUUAUUUUAAAAGAAAAUGGUGAACUAUAUUCAUUAUACAUUUGCUGGAAAGCGUGUAGUUUGGAGAGAAGUUCAGGACACAUUACAUGCUAAGCUAUCUGCUACAGGUAUAUCAUCGUCAAUAAUUGCCAGAUAAACUCUCUCUCUUUGUCAUCCACACACACAUGGGCGCAGAUCAUAGACACGUUGAGAGGUUUUCAGCUUGUGAAAAAAGUUUAAAGUUUUUCGGUCAUUGCACUCUGAAUUUGCUACAGGCAUGUUUGACAUGGCUGCACAUACAGACUUACUCGCUCGCUCACACACACACACACACGCACGCACAAUCAUUCCAUGUAUAUCUUGUUAGUUACUAAGCAUUAUUGGUGAAAUAUUUACAAAUAAGAAACAAUGCAACAAUAUUACAUCACAUAGUCUCCUCUAAAGGCACAAGCGAAUGAAACUGCUUAAUCAUCAUAGACACAUUCAGCGAAUAAGGCCACUGGCAUUGGCAGGAGAACGAUGAGCCACUGUGGCGUAGGUCACAUCUGGGGGUCGAUGGAGUUUUUUCUGAUAAUUUAUGCCUUGGCAUCUCAGACUGGUAUACUGCACAUCAACACUCUGGAACAAAACAGCAGAAGGUAGAAAUAGUUUUGGGAGGAUCUUUAUUCAGUUGUUUUGGUUGUACCUAUGUUGUACUGUGUGUACCGUAUGUGUGUGUGUGUGUGUGUGUGUGUUUGUGUGUGUGUGUUUAUGUCCAUCACCUUUAGACCAUUCUUUUCU
ensembl:lncRNA